rnacentral:snoRNA from 1 species
CCCCUAUGAAGAAACAUUCUCACAUCUUAACUCCUGUCCUAGUCUCAGAGCCUGUAAAGGUGAACCCACCGGGGAUGGCUGGGGCGAAGAGGAAAGCUUGUUCCAGAAGGAAGUGUCUGAGGGAA